rnacentral:rRNA from 2 species
AACGAACGCUGGCGGCAGGCUUAACACAUGCAAGUCGAGCGCCCCGCAAGGGGAGCGGCAGACGGGUGAGUAACGCGUGGGAAUCUACCCAUCUCUACGGAAUAACGCAUGGAAACGUGUGCUAAUACCGUAUACGUCCUUCGGGAGAAAGAUUUAUCGGCGAUAGAUGAGCCCGCGUUGGAUUAGCUAGUUGGUGGGGUAAAGGCCUACCAAGGCGACGAUCCAUAGCUGGUCUGAGAGGAUGAUCAGCCACACUGGGACUGAGACACGGCCCAGACUCCUACGGGAGGCAGCAGUGGGGAAUAUUGGACAAUGGGCGCAAGCCUGAUCCAGCCAUGCCGCGUGAGUGAUGAAGGCCCUAGGGUUGUAAAGCUCUUUCACCGGUGAAGAAUAUGACGGUNUCCGGAGAAGAAGCCCCGGCUAACUUCGUGCCAGCCGCCGCGGUAA